UUGUGGUUGUUGUUGUUGUUGUUGUUGUUCUGCAGAGCUGGCAGCUGAGAAGUUGCUGCGUCUCAGACUCAUGUAAAUGUCCUUGCAGCAACUCCUGCUCCUGCUGCUGCAACUAACACUUCUCCUGCUCCUUAUUUUCUCUCUUUUGUGCAGCGGACAGUUAUGCUUGCUGGCACUUUUGCGCUCACUUGACUUUAAAGCUUGCAGGCUUAAGAGGCUCAACAAGUUGCAAUGGCGUGAGGCAUAACCACAAAAA